GGGUACAAAUGCCCCCGAGGCGCCUCCAAUGGCCAAAGAGGGAAUCCCGUGAAAAUCGGGAGCGGUCCCGCCGCUGUAAUCGGGGACGAAAUCUGCAGCAAGCCACUUUCCGGAUCACGAGCCGGAUGGGAAGGCGCAGAAAGUAGGCUGAUCCGAGAGUCAGAAGACCUGCCUCGCUUACCGCACCGUG
rnacentral:ncRNA from 2 species